CCGACACUUCCCGCGGGCCCCGCUCCGGCCGCGGCUGUCGGGGAUCCCCGGAUCGAGAGCGGGAGAUUCAUCCCCCCGCCGCCAUCCCCCCGGAAGGAGCGUAACGCCCUCCUGCGCAGUCCGGCGGGGAUCGAAGGGCGAGCCGCAGCGGAGUGGCGCAGCGUCCGUCUGUGAAUAGCGGCCUCCCGCCGCCCCGCGCCAUCUUGACUACCAGCCGGGGGGCAGCCUUCCCCCUCCCUCUUCAAGAUGGCGCCGGCCGGGUGAGUGACAUGUCCAGUCACGUGGGCAGCGGAUGAGCCCCUCUCUCCCCCCGCCUUAAAUGAUCUCUAUGGUUCAGCCGGACACACAGGCGGCGGUGGCGGCAGCGGCGAGGGACGGAGCCGCGGCGGGAGCGGGGCCGCGGCGCCCGCCCGGCGCCUCCUUUGUCCUGCGGCCUCGGCAAGGAGAGCAAAGAUAG
rnacentral:lncRNA from 1 species